GGGCGCUUGGUCUAGGGGUAUGAUUUCCCCUUCGCAGAACACAUGACAUCAAGUCACGUGAUUUUAAAUGGGGAAGGUCGUGGGUUCAAUUCCCACAGUGUCCA
rnacentral:tRNA from 1 species